CUCUUAUCGAGAGCGGCGGAGGGACUGGCCCGAUGAAGCCCGGCAACCUGUCGAUCUUUUCGAUUGGCAAGGUGCCAACUCCUGCAGGAACGUUUCCUGAGAGAUAAGAG
rnacentral:ncRNA from 1 species